UUUGAUCCUGGCUCAGGAUGAACGCUGGCGGCGUGCCUAAUACAUGCAAGUCGAGCGAACGGAUAAGGAGCUUGCUCCUUUGAAGUUAGCGGCGGACGGGUGAGUAACACGUGGGUAACCUACCUAUAAGACUGGAAUAACUUCGGGAAACCGGAGCUAAUGCCGGAUAACAUAUAGAACCGCAUGGUUCUAUAGUGAAAGAUGGUUUUGCUAUCACUUAUAGAUGGACCCGCGCCGUAUUAGCUAGUUGGUAAGGUAAUGGCUUACCAAGGCGACGAUACGUAGCCGACCUGAGAGGGUGAUCGGCCACACUGGAACUGAGACACGGUCCAGACUCCUACGGGAGGCAGCAGUAGGGAAUCUUCCGCAAUGGGCGAAAGCCUGACGGAGCAACGCCGCGUGAGUGAUGAAGGUUUUCGGAUCGUAAAACUCUGUUAUUAGGGAAGAACAAAUGCGUAAGUAACUGUGCGCAUCUUGACGGUACCUAAUCAGAAAGCCACGGCUAACUACGUG
rnacentral:rRNA from 1 species